rnacentral:lncRNA from 1 species
UAGAUGAUCUGGGGCCCGUGCCCUGUCGAUUGUGGAUGACUUGCUCUGUCUUUUGCGUUUUUUAUCGCUCCCCUUUUUAUGGUACCCAACACUUGGGUUUUUACCUUUUUGAAUAAAAAUAGUCUUGCUCUUCAGAUGAUACUCUCAAAUCACUCGAGAAUGUUUCUGGUUCCAAGGUAAAAGUACCUCUUGAUUUGUCCUACCUCUAUAAGCUGUAUUUGGAGUUUUGGGUAUGGACCAAGGAGAAUGCAUACUUACCUUGUAUGUAUUGUCGAGUCAAAUCUCGGAUCCAAGAAGAGAAGUGUCAUACCCUUAGAUCAAGAUGUGCAAGUGUGUGCUAUAUGGUAUAAACAACUCCGUUGGUUGAUAUGAUCUCAUCAAGUAUUUCUAGACAUGGCUAUCAUAACUCUUUUAUUUUCUUGUGAGCCUUCAUGUGCUCAUCUUUUUUUUGUAUACUUAGGACCUUCAUGUGUCCUAUAUUUUUUUUCAGGUGGGUAUUUUUAUACCCCUAAUUCUACGGUGGGCACUUGCCCAUUUUUUUAAUAUAUUUUUGCAUAGCCCAUGUCUUUAUCUAAGAUGCACUAGAGAGAUCAUUCUUUAAAACAUGGAGUGUUUGUAUGGUGGACAUGUAAGGCAUGUUUUUGCGCACUCCUAGUGUAGAAGCGGCAUAUAUAUGUAUCUGGAGUGUACGUGAUCUUGAUCUUGAGAGCAUGAUAAAUCUCAUAACAAGGGUCAACAAGAUUUGACACAACUCAAAACAAAUAAGCAGCUAUUUGUAGAAUUUUUAUCAAGAGUAAUAUAUUUGGCCUUGGUAGGUAAUUAUCUAUCAUUGAAGAGCAGACUUUUUGCAAUUUUAAUUUUAUCAAAUAAAUCCCCAAGUUCAUUGCAUAAGUGAGCAAGUUUCAAAUCAUCCUACUAUAUCACAAAUCUCAAUUACUUAGAAGCAAUGGGGUCCUUAUAAAAAGUUGCUCAUAAAUGGUAGGCUUUUGGUGAGGAAUAAAGAGUAUGCAUGUUUAAUGUCAAAGGCAAAAAGGAAAUGGAGUAUUCAUUUAUUUUAUUAUUUUUUUAUCUUGUUAUUUUAUUAGCAAUAUUUUUAUCAUAUAAAUCAGAUUUAAAUUGUCAUAGGAGGAAUAAAAAUAAUUCUGAAAUUUUUUCUAUGUAAGAUUACCUUGAUGGCGAUUCCUACCCCACACUUGUUUUUGUACCUGUUCUUUGAUUUUUCUCAAGUAGACAAAAAUAAUACAAAAACAAGUGGAGACAAAAUAAUUCGAACAAAGAACUUCUUUAUUAUUAAAUAUAAGCCAAGACAUUGAUUACAA